rnacentral:sRNA from 1 species
UCAUCGAGGAUCUGGGGACAGAUCAGGUGGACGUGGGAGUCGACCGCGCCGGCCGUGACGAUCUUCCCGUUGCCGGACAGGAUCUCGGUCGACGGGCCGAUGACCAGAUCGGGGUGGACGCCGUCCAUCGUGUCGGGGUUGCCGGCCUUGCCGAUGGCGACGAUGCGGCCGUCGCGCACGCCGAUGUCGGCCUUGACCACCCCCCAGUGGUCGAGGAUCACCGCGCCUGUGAUCACGAGGUCGGCGGCGCCCUCGGCCCGGGUGGUGCGGGCCUGGCCCAUCGACUCGCGGAUCA